rnacentral:rRNA from 1 species
GAUGGACGCUGGCGGCGUGCCUAAUACAUGCAAGUCGAGCGAACAGACGAGGAGCUUGCUCCUCUGACGUUAGCGGCGGACGGGUGAGUAACACGUGGAUAACCUACCUAUAAGACUGGGAUAACUUCGGGAAACCGGAGCUAAUACCGGAUAAUAUAUUGAACCGCAUGGUUCAAUAGUGAAAGACGGUUUUGCUGUCACUUCUAGAUGGAUCCGCGCCGCAUUAGCUGGUUGGUAAGGUAACGGCUUACCAAGGCAACGAUGUGUAGCCGACCUGAGAGGGUGAUAGGCCACACUGGAACUGAGACACGGUCCAGACUCCUACGGGAGGCAGCAGUAGGGAAUCUUCCGCAAUGGGCGGAAGCCUGACGGAGCAACGCCGCGUGAGUGAUGAAGGUCUUCGGAUCGUAAAACUCUGUUAUUAGGGAAGAACAAAUGUGUAAGUAACUAUGCACGUCUUGACGGUACCUAAUAAGAAAGCCACGGCUAACUACGUG